rnacentral:pre_miRNA from 1 species
UUUCUGACGUUUCGUGACGUAGUGUAAGUCACUUCUUCAAAGAAUAAACAACCGAAUUCUAAAGAAGUGACUUACAUUAAGUCACGAAACGUCAGAAAAUC